rnacentral:rRNA from 1 species
CGGCAGCACGGAGAGCUUGCUCUCUGGUGGCGAGUGGCGAACGGGUGAGUAAUAUAUCGGANGNUGUCCAAUAAUGGGGGAUAACGAGUCGAAAGAUUCGCUAAUACCGCAUACGCCCUACGGGGGAAAGCAGGGGAUCGUAAGACCUUGCGUUAAUGGAGCGGCCGAUAUCUGAUUAGCUUGUUGGUGAGGUAAAGGCUCACCAAGGCGACGAUCAGUAGCUGGUUUGAGAGAACGACCAGCCACACUGGAACUGAGACACGGUCCAGACUCCUACGGGAGGCAGCAGUGGGGAAUUUUGGACAAUGGGGGCAACCCUGAUCCAGCCAUUCCGCGUGAGUGAAGAAGGCCUUCGGGUUGUAAAGCUCUUUCGCAAGGGAAGAAAACUUAUGAUCGAAUAAAUCAUGAGGUUGACGGUACCUUGAUAAGAAGCACCGGCUAACUACGUGCCAGCAGCCGCGGUAAUACGUAGGGUGCGAGCGUUAAUCGGAAUUACUGGGCGUAAAGCGUGCGCAGGCGGUUUUGUAAGUCGGAUGUGAAAUCCCCGGGCUCAACCUGGGAACUGCGUUCGAAACUGCAAGGCUAGAGUGUGUCAGAGGGGGGUAGAAUUCCACGUGUAGCAGUGAAAUGCGUAGAGAUGUGGAGGAAUACCAAUGGCGAAGGCAGCCCCCUGGGAUAACACUGACGCUCAUGCACGAAAGCGUGGGGGAGCAAACAGGAUUAGAUACCCUGGUAGUCCACGCCCUAAACGAUGUCAACUAGUUGUUGGUAGAGUAAAAUCUAUGAGUAACGUAGCUAACGCGUGAAGUUGACCGCCUGGGGAGUACGGUCGCAAGAUUAAACUCANNGAAUUGACGGGGGCCCGCACAAGCNGNGGAUUAUG